rnacentral:rRNA from 1 species
CAAGUACCGUGAGGGAAAGAUGAAAAGAACUUUGAAAAGAGAGUUAAACAGUACGUGAAAUUGUCAAAAGGGAAGCGUUUGACACCAGUGUUGUUUUUCCGAAAAUCAAUUGUGCCUGGCUGGAUUUUGUAGGAGUUUGACCUUAUCAGCUUCUUCUGCUUUUUUCCGGUCUGGUGCAAUGCACUUUUCGGUUAACAAGUCAACAUCAAUUUCUUUUGUUGUAAAAGGGUAAUUGGAAGGUGGCUUUCUUUUCGGAGAAAGUGUUUAUAGCCUUUUACCUCUACAAUCGGAGAGAUUGAGGUCUGCAGCGUAGAUCCUUCGGGGUUAGAUACAUUUGUGCUAAGUUAUAGCCCUGUAUAGACAACUUGUUGACUAUACUCGGUCAUGUAGCUUACUCGCUUAUGCUAUUUUACCUACGCUUAGGAUGUUGACAAAAUGGUUUUAAACGACCCGUCUUGAAACACGGACC